CGGGUGAGUAACACGUAGGUGAUCUACCUUUGGGUUGGGGAUAGCCUGUGGAAACACAGGGUAAUACCGGAUACGACCUUUGCACUGUGGUGUAGAGGGGAAAGGCGCAUUAUGCGCCGCCCGAAGAUGAGCCUGCGGUCCAUUAGCUUGUUGGUGGGGUAAGAGUCCGCCAAGGCGACGAUGGAUAGCCGGCCUGAGAGGGUGAUCGGCCACACUGGGACUGAGACACGGCCCAG
rnacentral:rRNA from 1 species